rnacentral:rRNA from 1 species
CGGACGGGUGAGUAAUGUCUGGGAAACUGCCUGAUGGAGGGGGAUAACUACUGGAAACGGUAGCUAAUGCCGCAUAACGUCGCAAGACCAAAGAGGGGGACCUUAGGGCCUCUUGCCAUCGGAUGUGCCCAGAUGGGAUUAGCUAGUAGGUGGGGUAACGGCUCACCUAGGCGACGAUCCCUAGCUGGUCUGAGAGGAUGACCAGCCACACUGGAACUGAGACACGGUCCAG